AACGUAGGAGACAAACGUUAUCCGGAGUUACUGGGCGUAAAGCGUGCGUAGGUGGUUUGUUAAGUCUGUUGUGAAAGCCCCGGGCUCAACCUGGGAAUGGCAAUGGAUACUGGCAGGCUAGAGUGCGGUAGAGGGUAGUGGAAUUCCCGGUGUGAGCGGUGAAAUGCGUAGAGAUCGGGAGGAACACCAGUGGCGAAGGCGGCAUCCUGGCCCUUACCUGACGCUGAGGCGCGAGAGCGUGGGGAGCAAACCGG
rnacentral:rRNA from 1 species